rnacentral:lncRNA from 1 species
UAACAUUCAUGCACUUUAAAUUUACUAAUACAAUAAUAAACAUUGUACUUUUUUUUUUUUUUUUUUUUUUUUUUUUUUUUUUAAAUAAUAAUAUACUUAUUUUAUAGUAAACAUAAUAUACUAAAAUAAUUAUAAUAAAAGUAACUUACACGAUGAAAACAUGUUUCUAGUUAGUACUUUUCUAAUUAUACAUAAAUUUUUUUUUUUCUAAAAUUAUAAAACUAUUAUGAAACCAUUUUGUUUGUUCUAAAUUAUUUGCUCAUUUUGUUUCUUUAUCAUAAUGUGCUUUUUUGUAUAAAUAUUAUUUUUGGUAAGUAUUUUUUUUUUUUAUCAUCACGUUUUACCUUGUUGUACUGCAAAAUUUAAAAAUUUUGUUUGUUUGCUUUUUUUUUGUUUUUUUAAAAAAAUUUAGUUAUAUCUUUAUACAAUUUAUAUGUUUAAAAAUGUAUAAGUUCAUAUAUAACUAAAAAUAUUGUAUAAUAUAUAAUUAUAUAAAGCCUGCUUAUAACGCAUAAAAUUGUUAAUAAACAUUCACUAACAUCAUUAUAAUAUAGUUAUAUGUACAAAAAUGUUUACUACAUUUUAUAAAAUAUUUUUUGUUUUGUUUUUUGUAUGGACUUGGAUCAAUAACACCAAAGUAGGCAUAGAAAAUAUACUAAAAGUAAAAUGUGAUAGAGUACUGGGUCAACGGGAUACCUCUCCAAAUGCACUUAUUGAUCGUCCUUAUUCAAAAACAUGUGAUGACACGUACGACUUUUCUAAACAUUUUGAACAAUACAUGACUAGUGAUAAUGAUCGAAAUAGCAAUAAUGCACAAAUUGUUGAAUAUUAUCAAAAUGUAUCAGUUUAUUUAACUGAUUUUAAAAAAGAAUUAACUAAAAUAUUAUAUAACCGAGAUGAUCCUCAAAUAAAUAUCAUACUAAUAGAAAAUCCAAACAUACAUAAAAAGAACUUACUAGAUAUAUAUGGUCUUAUUAAACAUGUCAUUUCAAGUGAUGAAUAUUUACAAAUUAUAGAUGAAACUUAUAAGUUAUUGCAAAGUAGACAACCUAAUAAUCAACAAGCUAAAAUAUAUUACAAAUCGUUGUUAUACUUACUAAACACUUAUUUCUUUCUUACAAAUAAUAAAACAGAUUUUAAAAAAAGGCUUAUGAACUUAGAAGCUAAACACGAACAAUCAUUAUUUAAAAAAAAAAAUUAAAAUUCAAAAAGAAAUAUUUAAAUAUAUUUAAACUUAGUAAAAAAAUAGAUAAACAUUUUAGGGCUAAAUUACUUGAACAAAUGAUAAAAGAAGAAAUAGAUCCAAAUGUAACAACGUCAUAUAAAAAAUAUUUUCAGAUAUUUUUUUAUCCAUUCGUUAUGCCAUUAUUUAGUUUUGCAUUUCUCCUUGCAGUUGAUCCUAUUGUAUCCAGUGGUGUCGCAUAUGCAAUAUAUGUACUACUGAUAGUUAUAUAUUUACAGACUAUAUAUAAAAUAUAUGAUGAUAUAAAAUCCAUAAACCGAAUUAUAGAUGGGUCAGAAUUACCAAGCAGAGAAAAUUUUCUCUAAUUAUAUAUAGAAUAAACAUAUUCUAACAGUACA